rfam:Gossypium raimondii Chr13_contig_1351, whole genome shotgun sequence.
UGUUAAAAAAUUAUGCAUUUAUGUUGCUAAAAAUUGACAUGGCGGACAAAAUAACUAGAUAAUUACACAGUGCGUGCCAUGUGUACAUCACGUUGGCGUACGGAGACUAGUUUUUAAUAGUAAAAUAGAUAUAAUUUUUAACA